ensembl:lncRNA
UCCCAUUUCCUCGCUCCUACCUGCGACUCUGCCCAGCCAGGGCUCAUAGCUGCAAAUAUUAGCAACACAUCCAUUUAGCUCAGCCUCCUCUGAACCAGCUACAGCCUGGUGCUUGGUCUGUUCGAAACAGCGGGUGGCAAAGCAACUCUUCCUGCUAGCUCGACUGCGGCUGAGCCCCUUUGUGUACAGUCAGAUCCUUAGGAACUGGGGGGCUCCUCCCCAGUUUGAACCUUUGCUCUCCACCCCAACCCCUCCUUUUCAUUUUUUUUAAACUCUGCUGUGGUCCUUGAUGAAAAGCUAUAGCUCAGUCUGAUCAGGCAUCCUCACUCUGUCCUGGGCAUGGCUCCGUGUCCUCCGGCUGGGAGAGGAGGGAAAUACUGUGGGGGUUGGGGAACGAGAUCUGGGCUAGUCCUCGUCUCUGCCAUUACAGCCACCUUGCCUGCCUCCCUCACUGCAGCAGCAUCUGCGGCUCAGGCUCUCCCUCCCCUGCAGUCCAACAGGCAGCCUGUGCCCCUGCCUCCACCACAUCCAUCAUGCUGGAUAUUUUCAUCUUAAUGUUUUUUGCCAUCAUCGGCCUGGUGAUCCUCUCCUAUAUCAUCUACCUGCUCUAAGAGCUCCAACAGCAGUGCAGGGGAAGGAUGAAGCACAGCAGCCAGCCAUCCUGCCAAUCAAAGCAUCAUUCAGCUCUCAGGCCUGGGUCAGACAAGUGUCACAUUAUCCUCAGCAGCAGCAAUGCCAGAGCCAUCAGGAGAAAGAGCUAACCCUUCCCAAGCAACCCGCUUCCCGAGCAGCUGGAGAGAGGAAAACCCCAGGAAGAGCAGCCAUUGGACAGUGCAGAUGUCAAGACUUAUAAAUGCCCUUGGCAGAAUGUCUGAGCUGUAAUGCAUUUGAAGAGCAAAUACAAAGCAACCUGGCCUCAGGAAUGGACAGAGAGAGAGAGAGAGAGAGAGCGAUAACGAAACCUCACUAUGGAGUAUAGUGUGUUGUUUUGUUUGCCAUGCUGGUAUUAAGGAAAUGUAACUGUUCAUUGUUCUGUGGCCACAUAGAUACCCCCCACCCUUGGGAUAAGUACCUGCUGUUUUUUAGUUUUAGAAAGUAUAUAUAUAUUUUUUUUACUUAAAAAAAUUUAAAAAGCUAAGAAAACAAAAAGUGAGAGCAAAAUCUGAAUAUCACAAUAGUAUCUUAUUCAGACACGUCACCUUUCAUUUUUCACUGAUCACUCACUGCUUAUCACUGGUUAUUGCUUAAAUGCAGCUACUUCUGGGGUGGAGGGUGGCAACUAGCUAGAACACUUCAGGAAUGGGAGCAUGAAUUUUGACUCAAUAGCAGUGAGUAGUGCAGGUAUACCAUAUCCAUCUGAGCACUGGCCUGACCACUGCAGUCAUGUUUAAUUCUUCCUCAUCCUCCAGACUGCUAGUCCACACAACAGACACUUUUUAUUUUGGACAAAUGCAAAUAGUUUUCUGGGGUUAAAAAUGGAAUGCAAACCAACAACAUGGAAGACUUAGUCAACCACUACUGUGUAAUAAACAUCACAUGUAAUGUUUAUUUCA